rnacentral:misc_RNA from 1 species
GGUGAAGAACGUAGCGAAAUGCGAUAAGUAGUGUGAAUUGCAGAAUUCAGUGAAUCAUCGAAUCUUUGAACGCACAUUGCGCCCCAUGGUAUUCCGUGGGGCAUGCCUGUUCGAGCGUCAUUUACCCCCUCAUGCUCGGCUUGGUGUUGGGCGUCUGUCCCGCUUCGCGCGCGGACUCGCCCCAAAGGUAUUGGCAGCGGUCGUGCCAGCUUCUCGCGCAGCACAUUGCGCUUCUCGAGGCACCGGCGGGCCCGCGUCCAUCAAGCUCACCCCCCAGUUUGACCUCGGAUCAGGUAGGGAUACCCGCUGAACUUAAGCAUAUCAAUAAGCGGAGGA